GGAUUAGAUACCCUGGUAGUCCACGCCGUAAACGAUGUCUACUAGCCGUUGGGGUCCUUGAGACUUUAGUGGCGCAGCUAACGCACUAAGUAGACCGCCUGGGGAGUACGGUCGCAAGAUUAAAACUCAAAUGAAUUGACGGGGGCCCGCACAAGCGGUGGAGCAUGUGGUUUAAUUCGAUGCAACGCGAAGAACCUUACCAGGUCUUGACAUCCUCGGAACUUAGCAGAGAUGCUUUGGUGCCUUCGGGAACCGAGUGACAGGUGCUGCAUGGCUGUCGUCAGCUCGUGUUG
rnacentral:rRNA from 1 species